rnacentral:rRNA from 1 species
GNGNGACACNCAUGUAGAGUUUGAUCAUGGCUCAGGAUGAACGCUAGCGGCAGGCCUAAUACAUGCAAGUCGAACGGUAAGGCUCCUUCGGGAGUACACGAGUGGCGCACGGGUGCGUAACACGUAUGCAAUCUGCCCUUAACUGCAGGAUAGCCCUCGGAAACGGGGAUUAAUACUGCAUGUGGUAAUUAAGUCUCAUGGCUUGAUUACUAAAGAUUUAUCGGUUAAGGAUGAGCAUGCGUCUGAUUAGCUAGUUGGUAGGGUAAUGGCCUACCAAGGCGACGAUCAGUAGGGGACCUGAGAGGGUGAUCCCCCACACUGGAACUGAGACACGGUCCAGACUCCUACGGGAGGCAGCAGUAGGGAAUAUUGGUCAAUGGGCGAGAGCCUGAACCAGCCAUGCCGCGUGCAGGAAGACGGCCUUCUGGGUUGUAAACUGCUUUUAUACGGGAAGAAACGACUCCUGCGGGAGGCAUUGCCUGUACCGUAUGAAUAAGCACCGGCUAACUCCGUGCCAGCAGCCGCGGUAAUACGGAGGGUGCAAGCGUUGUCCGGAUUUAUUGGGUUUAAAGGGUGCGUAGGCGGUUUAUUAAGUCAGUGGUGAAAGUUUGCGGCUUAACCGUAAAAUUGCCACUGAUACUGAUAAACUUGAAUUAAGUUGAGGUAGGCGGAAUUCGUGGUGUAGCGGUGAAAUGCAUAGAUACCACGAAGAACACCGAUAGCGUAGGCAGCUUACUAAGCUUAUAUUGACGCUGAGGCACGAAAGCGUGGGUAGCGAACAGGAUUAGAUACCCUGGUAGUCCACGCCGUAAACGAUGAUCACUCGCUGUUGGGCGAUAGACAGUCAGCGGCCAAGCGAAAGCGUUAGUGAUCCACCUGGGGAGUACGUCCGCAAGGAUGAAACUCAAAGGAUUGACGGGGGUCCGCACAGCGUGGAGCAUGUGGUUUAAUUCGAUGAUA